rnacentral:rRNA from 1 species
UACGGGGGGGGGCAAGCGUUGUUCGGAAUUACUGGGCGUAAAGGGCUCGUAGGCGGCCAACUAAGUCGGACGUGAAAUCCCUCAGCUUAACUGGGGAACUGCGUCCGAUACUGGAUGGCUUGGAUUCGGGAGAGGGAUGCGGAAUUCCAGGUGUAGCGGUGAAAUGCGUAGAUAUCUGGAGGAACACCGGUGGCGAAGGCGGCAUCCUGGACCGAUAUUGACGCUGAGGAGCGAAAGCCAGGGGAGCAAACGGG